rnacentral:rRNA from 1 species
AUUGAACGCUGGCGGCAGGCCUAACACAUGCAAGUCGAGCGAGCGGCGGACGGGUGAGUAAUGUGUGGGAAACUGCCUGCUGGAGGGGGAUAACUACUGGAAACGCUAGCUAAUACCGCAUACCAUCUGAUGUGCCCAGAUGGGAUUAGCUCGUAGGUGGGGUAACGGCUCACCUCGGCGACGAUCCCUAGCUGGUCUGAGAGGAUGACCAGCCAAACUGGAAGUGAGAAACGGGCCAGACUCCGACGGGAGGCAGCAGUGGGGAAUAUUGCACAAUGGGCGCAAGCCGGAUGCAGCCAGGCCGCGGGUGUGAAGAAGGCCUUCGGGUUGUAAAGCACUGUCAGCGGGGAGGCGUUACCCGCAGAAGAAGCACCGGCUAACUCCGUGCCAGCAGCCGCGGUAAUAC